GGGCAGCGGCCAACUGCUAAAACCGCUGAAAAAUCUUAACGUUUCCCAACCGCUCUCGGUCGUGCUCUCAGUUGUGCCUUCAGACGUGCCGCGCCGGGACGGGAAAAGUCGUUUUCCUUCCACGCGCGAUACUUGCUUAGCGUCUCUGUGACGCAGGCGCCGCACGUGACCCCAGAGGCGGCGGCUCCGGCGCGGGUUUUGGCGCGUGCCGGCCGGAGUCUCGCGGGUGCCGUCGCCGGAGAGGAGCGAGGUGCAGAUUUGCGUUGUGCAGACGGUGAGACGUAAUGAGGGCGGCGGCACCGGCAGUAACGAUGCGCCCCCUGAGGUGGAGAGUGCCCAGUGUGGUUCAUCGACAUACACACGUUAAAAUGGAAGAAAGGCGCUUUUUCAGAAGGAGGGCCUAAAGAUGGCCUAUGUUUUAGUUGGAAAAACGCAACUCACUGAAGAGGAAGGGGUAACGGCAGUUUUAAAGGCGGAUUCGAUGCGUUUGACACCCUCAUGGGUUUAUUGAUGAUGGAGGUGGACCGGAAACGGGCGGUCCAGUUCGUGCGGGGCCGUUUCUGCGUGUGGCGCC